UACUAAUACUAUUUAUUGCACCAUUUACAUAGUUUUUUUCUAAGGAAAAUUUGGUUUGGUUUGGUUUGGUUUUAGUUUGCAGAAAUGGAGGAAAAGGUGUUCAGCUUUGAGGAGGCGUCAAGCCACAGUAACCCAGACGAUUGUUGGCUUAUCAUCGAUGGCAAGGAGAAGAUGCAACUCUUGAAUUUGAGGCUAUUGGGCACAGCGAAAAAGCAGAAGAAUUGAUGAAGGAUUUCUUGGUUGGGAAAAUAAAGCCAUAUACUCGCCCUACAAUAAUGAAGAGUUUAGCCAAACAUGUUGAUGGUCCUUUAAGCCACGAUUCAACUUCAACUUCAACUUCAACUUCGGGACUCAGCUUGCUCUAUGUCACCAUGCCCCCGUUCAUAUUCGCGGCUGCAUUUCUUUUUCGUUAUUACAAUAGCAACAACAACGACUACACCGUCUAGUUUUGGGUGUCUCAUUCACGGCUUCAUAAUAAUUAAUUCACAACAAUAAUGACCGUUCAUGUGCUUCGAUUCGAAUAAGAGGUUGGUGUGGGUGAUGAUAUUGUGUUAUUAUAACUAUGGUUUUUAUUAGACGGGGAUGGUAUAUGGUCCUAUUUAUUGAAAACGUAACUAAUACGAGAAAGGAAACUGAACAAAUUCCGGUGAUGUAUCAUCCUAUGAAACUAAUUGGUAGCAAUGAAAGGAAAAUUUAAAUUUCAGAUAA